AUUGAACGCUGGCGGCAGGCCUAACACAUGCAAGUCGAGCGAGCGGCGGACGGGUGAGUAAUGUCUGGGAAACUGCCUGGUGGAGGGGGAUAACUACUGGAAACAGUAGCUAAUACCGCAUACCAUCAGAUGGGCCCAGAUGGGAUUAGCUAGUAGGUGGGGUAAAGGCUCACCUAGGCGACGAUCCGUAGCUGGUCUGAGAGGAUGACCAGCUACACUGGGACUGAGACACGGCCCAGCCUCCUACGGGAGGCAGCAGUGGGGAAUCUUGGACAAUGGUCGCAAGUCUGAUGCAGCCACGCCGCGUGUAUGAAGAAGGCCUUCGGGUUGUAAAGUACUUUCAGCGGGGAGGCGUUACCCGCAGAAGAAGCCCCGGCUAACUCCGUGCCAGCAGCCGCGGUAAUAC
rnacentral:rRNA from 1 species